GGAGCAGCCUAGGAGAAAAAAAAAAAAAAAUUGUCCCUGAAAAGCAUUUGUACAAACCUCUCUAAAUCAUCCCAUCCUUUCAUGAGUUGCAGUCCAGUACACCCUUGAGCAAAUUGAGACCCUCAGCUGAUAUGCUUCUUCGAACUCGAAAUUGUGGGAUCUCCAUCCGAGGGGGUGGGUCUGGCGAGAAACAAACCACUAUCACUGUUACGUUAUCACAUGUGCUGCGCUUUAGAGCCUCCCUGACCAACUCUCUUGAGCAUCUUUCAGCAUC
rnacentral:misc_RNA from 1 species